CAGCCGCCGCGGUAAUACGGAGGGGGCUAGCGUUGUUCGGAAUUACUGGGCGUAAAGCGCACGUAGGCGGCUUGGUAAGUUAGAGGUGAAAGCAUGGAGCUCAACUCCAGAAUUGCCUUUAAGACUGCCGAGCUAGCAGGUGAGAGAGGUAAGUGGAAUUCCGAGUGUAGAGGUGAAAUUCGUAGAUAUUCGGAAGAACACCAGUGGCGAAGGCGGCUUACUGGCUCAUACUGGACGCUGAGGUGCGAAAGUGUGGGGAGCAAACAGGAUUAGAUACCCGAGUAGUCCCUGUCUCUUAUAC
rnacentral:rRNA from 1 species